rnacentral:rRNA from 1 species
AUUGAACGCUGGCGGCAUGCUUUACACAUGCAAGUCGAACGGCAGCGCGGGGCAACCUGGCGGCGAGUGGCGAACGGGUGAGUAAUAUAUCGGAACGUACCCAGAAGUGGGGGAUAACGUAGCGAAAGUUACGCUAAUACCGCAUACGAUCUACGGAUGAAAGUGGGGGACCUUCGGGCCUCAUGCUUUUGGAGCGGCCGAUAUCUGAUUAGCUAGUUGGUGAGGUAAAGGCUCACCAAGGCGACGAUCAGUAGCUGGUCUGAGAGGACGACCAGCCACACUGGGACUGAGACACGGCCCAGACUCCUACGGGAGGCAGCAGUGGGGAAUUUUGGACAAUGGGGGGCAACCCUGAUCCAGCAAUGCCGCGUGAGUGAAGAAGGCCUCGGUUGUAAAGCUCUUUUGUCAGGGAGAAAGGUACGUGGCUAAUAUCCACGACUGCUGACGGUACCUGAAGAAUAAGCACCGGCUAACUACGUAGCCAGCAGCCGCGGUAA